rnacentral:rRNA from 1 species
GACGUAGGGCGCGAGCGUUGUCCGGAUUUAUUGGGCGUAAAGAGCUCGUAGGCGGUCUGUCGCGUCUGCUGUGAAAACUCAGGGCUUAACCCUGAGCUUGCAGUGGGUACGGGCAGACUAGAGUGCGGUAGGGGAGACUGGAAUUCCGUGGUGUAGCGGUGAAAUGACGCAGAUAGUCAGGAGGAACACCGGUGGCGAAGGCGGGUCUCUGGGCCGUAACUGACGCUGGAGGAGCGAAAGCAUGGGGAGCGAACAGGA